rnacentral:rRNA from 1 species
AUUGAGGAUUUGAUCCUGGUCCAGGAUGAACGCUGGCGGCGUGGAUAAGGCAUGCAAGUCGUGCGAUUGGUUGUUGCAUAGCGGCGAACGAGUUAGUAAUACCUUGGAAUCUACCCCGAAGACGGGAAUAAUCCGCCGAAAGGCGGACUAAUACCCGAUAGUCCCAAAUCCGCAAGGAUUUGGGUAAAGGCGCAAGACACUUCGGGAGGAGCCUCGGUCCUAUCAGCUAGUUGGCGGGGUAAUGGCCCACCAAGGCGAUGACGGGUAGGGGGCGUGAGAGCGCGUUCCCCAACGACACUACUGAGAUACGGAGUGUACACCUACGGGUGGCCGCAGUCGAGAAUAUUCGACAAUGGGCGAAAGCCUGAUCGAGCGACGCCGCGUGCAGGAUGAAGGCCUUCGGGUCGUAAACUGCUUUUAACUGGGAACAAUCGGUGCUCGAUGAGCGUACCAGUAGAAUAAGGAGCUGCAAACUUCGUGCCAGCAGCCGCGGUAAUACGAAGGCUCCAAGCGUUAUCCGGAUUUAUUGGGCGUAAAGGGUCUCCAGGCGGUUUUGUUAGUCCGCUGUUAAAUCUCGACGCUUAACGUCGAGGCCGCAGUGGAAACGGCAAAACUAGAGGCGGGUAGAGGCAUAUGGAACUCACGGUGUAGGGGUGAAAUCCGUUGAUAUCGUGGGGAACACCAAAGGCGAAGGCAAUAUGCUGGGCCUGUCCUGACGCUCAUGAGACGAAAGCGUGGGGAGCGAAUAGGAUUAGAUACCCUAGUAGUCCACGCCCUAAACGAUGCAGACUCGCUAUCGGAAGUAUCGACCCUUUCGGUGGCCAAGCUUACGCGUUAAGUCUGCCGCCUGGGAAGUACGGCCGCAAGGCUAAAACUCAAAGGAAUAGACGGGAGUUCGCACAAGCGGUGGUUCAUGCCUCGUCAGUUCGUGGUGUAAACUGUUCCCUUAAGUGGGGUAACGAACGCAACCCUCAUCCUAUGUUAUAUGUGUCAUAGGAAACUGCCUCUUUAUAAGGGGAGGAAGGUGGGGAUGACGCGAGAUCAGCGUGGCCCUCUGAUGCCCUGGGCUACACGCAUGAAACAAUGGCGCCGACAAAGCGUAGCAAAGCCGUAAGGCGGAGCCAAUCGCACCAAACGGCGCCUCAGUUCAGAUUGGGGUCUGCAACUCGACCCCAUGAAGAAGGAAUCGCUAGUAAACGCCGAUCAGCUAUGCGGCGUUGAAUACGUUCUCGAACUUUGUACUCACCGCCCCGUCACGUCAAGGGAGCCGGGAGUAGCCGAAACUUGGGGCAACCCAAACUAAGCUAAGCUCGGUGACAGGGACGAAGUCGUAACAAGGCAUCGGUAGCGGAAGCUGUCGAUGGAACAUUUCUU